AUCCUAUGUAGCUAUGCUAAACUAGAGAUCUAGUUAAUGUGGUGGCUCUAGGGCUUGAUCAGAGACUUCUUCUCCCGAGAUGAAUGAAUGAAUUAGGGUUUCAAAGGUGCCUCCUCCAGGGGCCAGGAGGCCUACUUAUAUAGUCCCUCCAAAUGAAUAUGGGCCGUCGGAUCAAACUGACCUUAAUCGCAUGGUUUUCCUUAAUCCUCUAGGUCGGUGGAGCAUUAUCCGCGAGACGGAGCC
rnacentral:lncRNA from 1 species